AGGAAUUUAGGUUAAAACAGACCAAGAGCCUUCAAAGCUCUAAGUAAGUAACCANUACUUAAUUCCUG
rnacentral:tRNA from 1 species